rnacentral:rRNA from 1 species
CGGCAGCCCGAGUGGUGAUCACUAUUAUUGGGCCUAAAGCGUCCGUAGCCGGCCGAGCAAGUCUUCCGUUAAAUCCAGCGUCUCAAGCGUUGGACCGCGGGAGAUACUACACGGCUAGAGAGUGGGAGAGGUCAGCGGUAUUCUGGGGGUAGGGGCGAAAUCCUUUGAUCCCCGGAGGACCACCAGUGGCGAAGGCUGCUGACUAGAACACGUCUGACGGUCAGGGACGAAAGCUGGGGUAGCGAACCGGAUUAGAUACCCGAGUAGUCC